rnacentral:rRNA from 1 species
UACGAAGGGGACUAGCGUUGUUCGGAAUCACUGGGCGUAAAGCGCACGUAGGCGGAUGUGUCAGUCAGGGGUGAAAUCCCGGGGCUCAACCUCGGAACUGCCUUUGAUACAGCACGUCUCGAGUCCGGAAGAGGUGGGUGGAAUUCCUAGUGUAGAGGUGAAAUUCGUAGAUAUUAGGAAGAACACCCGUGGCGAAAGCGGCUCUCUGGAACGGUACUGACGCUGAGACGCGAAAGCGUGGGGAGCGAACAGG